rnacentral:tRNA from 1 species
AAGGCUUUAAGUUAAAAAAACUAAUAACCUUCAAAGCUAUAAAUAUAAGAUAAAUCUUUUAAGCCUUA